rnacentral:rRNA from 1 species
UCUGGUGGACCUGUUGUGGCGCCAGCCGCAUUGCAGGGUAGCUAUGUGUGGAAGGGAUAACUGCUGAAUGCAUCUAAGCAGGAAGCCCACCUCAAGACCAGGUUUCCCUUGAGAGCCGUGGAAGACCACCACGUCGAUAGGCCAGGUGUGGAAGCGUAGUGAUACGUGAAGCUGACUGGUACUAAUUGCUCGAUAGGCUUGAUUUCCCGAUGCUCA